AUGGCAGACAAAAGGAGAGAAGCUAUGGAGAAAAGGAAAAAAGAAGCAGAAGAGGCAAAAAGAAUUAAGGCAAAAGAAAGACAAAGAAUUGCUGAAGACAAAAAAAGAGUUUGCAAGACUAAAUUUGAUGCAGAAGAGGCAUUGUUUCUUAUAAAUCAAGCAGAUGAGAUUGAUAGGCAGCAAUCAUUUCUGCAAACACAGGAGACAGCAAGGCAAAGAGCUUGGGAGCAGCAGACUGUCCAGCAGGAAGCUACAAGAGUGCAGGCAGCUUUGCAGGAUGCAGAUAAGACGAAGGCACAGCAAGACAGAGAAGCAAUGGUGGAGGAGCAGAGGAUGAAUGCAUGUCAGUCCAAAACUACAACAAUGAAGAGAACUGGAGCAAGCUCUAGUCAAAACAGGAGAACAUUUAAAAAACCAAGAAAAGUUAGCAUGUUUGAUGAACUUAGGGGUGGUUGA
rnacentral:rRNA from 1 species